CUCCCAUAGUGUAGGUCAUUUGACACUUACUGCUGUUUUGAAGACAGUAAUAAUAACAUGUAAAAUGUAUUAAUUACAUAUAUAGUAAAACACAUUUUCGCUUCUUCUUGUACGUUAGCCAGACUUCUAACCGGAAGUCACAACCAUUUGGGGGUACAAAUAUAUGAAAAUAUUUCUACCUGCUAAUAUUUUAUAAAUGUCUGCAGUUCAGUAUGUAUGUAUGGCUUCACCCACGCAAUUGGGUCUCGAUUAGCUAUAAUAAUAAAUAAUACAAAUUCCAAAUUGCAUAAUGCCCGUAACAGGUGGAAACAAGCACACCUGUUGAAUGGAAGAGUCUGAUCUUUUUUUUUUAGGUAGCGGUAGGUCAUUUAGCGACUUUGCUUCUUAUCGCCUGUUACGUGCAUUAUCAGCGUUACUCCAAUUUUAUUCCACUUAUUUAUUUGUUCAUUUUUUAAAAAAACUAUAUAUAUUUAUUUAUUCCAUUGGUUCCAGUAACAAGCAAGGAGAAAGAGUUUGUUUGGUUUUACCCGAUAAGAAAAGCUUUAAGAAGAACAGUCUCCAAAACUUUCCAAACUGCCGUAAGUAUUGUAAUUUUAAGGGGGAAAAUAAAAGGGUAAAAGUUAGCGACUGAAAAGUAAACCUUAUUGUGAUGGUUCUAACUGUUGAAGUGAGGGUCAGCUACAGGUGAAGCAAUAGUACUAAACACAAACUCAUUAGUUUAAUGUGUGUGUCACGCUUUUCAAGUGGUGUGCAGGGCUUUACCUACUAUUGGUCGCUAAAAUGAUACAGUAAAGAUAAAUGAAUAAAAAUCAUGACAUAUACUAAGAUAUCUUAGUCCAAAAACAUGGCACUACUUUAAAGGUGGGAUGGUGCUCGUCAUUUAUACAGAGCCAUUUCCACCAUUAUGUAUAACACAGUAGCCAUGCCUUUCGCUUAGGACAGGACAAAUUGACUUUAAAUUGUUAAGAACAUUAAAACAUGGCAAUAUUACUUGACUUGGGAAAGUAGGAGACUCCAGCAACAGGCCAGAAGUAACAUAACUGAACUGGUUUUACAUAGUACCAUGGAAGUUGAUAUUUUAUUUGGGUAAUUUUAGGGUUUAAAUAAAGUAACUAUGGCUCAGGCACCAUUUACCAACACUUAUUAAUAUUAUUGAUCCACUUGUAUUCAUUGAGGUCCUGUAAACAACAUCUUGCGUACUAGAAAUGUAGCUCAAAACUUCUGUUUUUUUAGUAACAGGAACCACAUCAGGGAAUUGGAAAAACUCCCAAAUCUCAGGGGCAGAAACUAAUCUCGUGAGUUAUAGCUGUGCAAGUUCACAUGGAUGAUGCGUGCACAUUAAAUCAGCAUUGCGGUGCAUUUUACCAUUAUUUUUUUUUUUUACCAAAGAGUGUCCUACCAGAGUGUGUUUUUGCCCAAGGCCUUUACGUUUUAAAACACAGCUGAUUAACUGUGGUCCUUAAAGAUUCUUCCUUUAUUUGAAUAUGAAUGUUUGCCGUUGACCUCUUUGACCCAUCUUAGUUGUGAAACCAGAAAGGAUAGAAGUGUAUUUGUCAGUGAUUAAAACACUUGGGACCUUCUUUCCAGCAGUAAAUUUCAAAUGCACGGUCUUUUGUCCCUGAUAUUCACCAAUGCUUUUAUGAACAGAGUGCCUUUGGGCAUGCAAGCCUCUGUAGUCUGGAAUGGCUCAGUUGCAGACAUUAGUUACCAAGGGUCUUGAGUUCGGUGCUCCCCGUCAGCAUUUUGGAGCAGCACAAUGGACCAUAGCAGCUAGUUCACGUUCAUUACACAAUGUUCCAGUCCAGCUCAUGCUGUGGUAGAGCCGGAGAAGGGAAAUAGUGACUUUUGAUUAAACGGCUGAGUAAUUGUGUUUUGCCAUUAGCGUACCGCAGUCGAUUCAUUCAUGUCGAUGUUGACUGAGCUCAGUGCAUUGUGAGGUUUGGCUCAUCGGAACAACAAUCAGCAUUUGUUAGGGAAAUUUAAAGGAAAAUCUGAUGGAGUAUGUUUUGUAAGAACUGUGGUGUUUAUGCCUAGGGAGGGGGGCGGGUAGUUGAAUCAAAAUACAAAAGGCCAGUCUGUA
rnacentral:lncRNA from 1 species